rnacentral:rRNA from 1 species
UAAGCCAUGCGAGUCAACAUAGCAAUAUGUGGCAUACGGCUCAGUAACACGUAGUCAACAUGCCCAGGGGACGUGGAUAACCUCGGGAAACUGAGGAUAAACCGCGAUAAGUCACUACUUCUGGAAUGGGUAAUGACUUAAAUCUAUAUGGCCCCUGGAUUGGACUGCGGCCGAUCAGGCUGUCGGUGAGGUAAUGGCCCACCAAACCUGUAACCGGUACGGGCUCUGAGAGGAGGAGCCGGGAGAUGGGCACUGAGACAAGGGCCCAGGCCCUAUGGGGCGCAGCAGGCGCGAAACCUCUGCAAUAGGCGAAAGCCUGACAGGGUUACUCUGAGUGGUUCCCGCUAAGGGGAUCUUUUGGCACCUCUAAAAAUGGUGCAGAAUAAGGGGUGGGCAAGUCUGGUGUCAGCCGCCGCGGUAAUACCAGCACCCCGAGUGGUCGGGACGUUUAUUGGGCCUAAAGCAUCCGUAGCCGGUUCUGCAAGUCUUCCGUUAAAUCCACCUGCUUAACAGAUGGGCCGCGGAAGAUACUAUAGAGCUAGGAGGCGGGAGAGGCAAGCGGUACUCGAUGGGUAGGGGUAAAAUCCGUUGAUCCAUUGAAGACCACCAGUGGCGAAGGCGGCUUGCCAGAACGCGCUCGACGGUGAGGGAUGAAAGCUGGGGGAGCAAACCGGAUUAGAUACCCGGGUAGUCCCAGCUGUAAACGAUGCAGACUCGGUGAUGAAUUGGCUUUAUGCCUAUUCAGUGCCGCAGGGAAGCCGUUAAGUUUGCCGCCUGGGGAGUACGGUCGCAAGACUGAAACUUAAGGAAUUGGCGGGGGAGCACCACAAGGGGUGAAGCCUGCGGUUCAAUUGGAUC